rnacentral:rRNA from 1 species
GAUGAACGCUAGCUACAGGCUUAACACAUGCAAGUCGAGGGGCAGCAUUUCAGUUUGCUUGCCAACUGGAGAUGGCGACCGGCGCACGGGUGAGUAACACGUAUCCAACCUGCCGAUAACUCGGGGAUAGCCUUUCGAAAGAAAGAUUAAUACCCGAUGGCAUAAUUAGACCGCAUGGUCUUAUUAUUAAAGAAUUUCGGUUAUCGAUGGGGAUGCGUUCCAUUAGGCAGUUGGUGAGGUAACGGCUCACCAAACCUUCGAUGGAUAGGGGUUCUGAGAGGAAGGUCCCCCACAUUGGAACUGAGACACGGUCCAAACUCCUACGGGAGGCAGCAGUGAGGAAUAUUGGUCAAUGGGCGCAGGCCUGAACCAGCCAAGUAGCGUGAAGGAUGACUGCCCUAUGGGUUGUAAACUUCUUUUAUAUGGGAAUAAAGUUUUCCACGUGUGGAAUUUUGUAUGUACCAUAUGAAUAAGGAUCGGCUAACUCCGUGCCACCAGCCGCGGUAAUACGGAGGAUCCGAGCGUUAUCCGGAUUUAUUGGGUUUAAAGGGAGCGUAGGUGGACAGUUAAGUCAGUUGUGAAAGUUUGCGGCUCAACCGUAAAAUUGCAGUUGAUACUGGCUGUCUUGAGUACAGUAGAGGUGGGCGGAAUUCGUGGUGUAGCGGUGAAAUGCUUAGAUAUCACGAAGAACUCCGAUUGCGAAGGCAGCUCACUGGACUGCAACUGACACUGAUGCUCGAAGGUGUGGGUAUCAAACAGGAUUAGAUACCCUGGUAGUCCACACAGUAAACGAUGAAUACUCGCUGUUUGCGAUAUACAGUAAGCGGCCAAGCGAAAGCAUUAAGUAUUCCACCUGGGGAGUACGCCGGCAACGGUGAAACUCAAAGGAAUUGACGGGGGCCCGCACAAGCGGAGGAACAUGUGGUUUAAUUCGAUGAUACGCGAGGAACCUUACCCGGGCUUAAAUUGCAUUUGAAUAUAUUGGAAACAGUAUAGCCGUAAGGCAAAUGUGAAGGUGCUGCAUGGUUGUCGUCAGCUCGUGCCGUGAGGUGUCGGCUUAAGUGCCAUAACGAGCGCAACCCUUAUCUUUAGUUACUAACAGGUCAUGCUGAGGACUCUAGAGAGACUGCCGUCGUAAGAUGUGAGGAAGGUGGGGAUGACGUCAAAUCAGCACGGCCCUUACGUCCGGGGCUACACACGUGUUACAAUGGGGGGUACAGAAGGCAGCUACCUGGUGACAGGAUGCUAAUCCCAAAAGCCUCUCUCAGUUCGGAUCGAAGUCUGCAACCCGACUUCGUGAAGCUGGAUUCGCUAGUAAUCGCGCAUCAGCCAUGGCGCGGUGAAUACGUUCCCGGGCCU